CCGGCACGGGUGAGUAACACGUAUCCAACCUGCCGUCUACUCUUGGACAGCCUUCUGAAAGGAAGAUUAAUACAAGAUGGCAUCAUGAGUCCGCAUGUUCACAUGAUUAAAGGUAUUCCGGUAGACGAUGGGGAUGCGUUCCAUUAGAUAGUAGGCGGGGUAACGGCCCACCUAGUCUUCGAUGGAUAGGGGUUCUGGGAGGAAGGUCCCCCACAUUGGAACUGAGACACGGUCCAA
rnacentral:rRNA from 1 species